ACGCACGCUGGCGGCGUGCCUAAUACAUGCCAGUCGAGCGGACGAAUCGAAAGCUUGCUUUUGAUUCGUUAGCGGCGGACGGGUGAGUAACACGUGGGCAACCUGCCCUGUAGACGGGGAUAACACCGAGAAAUCGGUGCUAAUACCGGAUAACACGAAAUGUCGCAUGACGUUUCGUUGAAAGACGGCGCAAGCUGUCGCUACAGGAUGGGCCCGCGGCGCAUUAGCUAGUUGGUGAGGUAACGGCUCACCAAGGCGACGAUGCGUAGCCGACCUGAGAGGGUGAUCGGCCACACUGGGACUGAGACACGGCCCAGACUCCUACGGGAGGCAGCAGUAAGGAAUCUUCCGCAAUGGACGAAAGUCUGACGGAGCAACGCCGCGUGAGCGAAGAAGGCCUUCGGGUCGUAAAGCUCUGUUGUUAGGGAAGAACAAGUAACGCAGUAACUGGCGUUACCGUGACGGUACCUAACGAGAAAGCCACGGCUAACUACGUG
rnacentral:rRNA from 1 species